rnacentral:rRNA from 1 species
AGAGUUUGAUCAUGGCUCAGGAUGAACGCUGGCGGCGUGCCUAAUACAUGCAAGUCGAGCGAAUGGAUUGAGAGCUUGCUCUCAAGAAGUUAGCGGCGGACGGGUGAGUAACACGUGGGUAACCUGCCCAUAAGACUGGGRUAACUCCGGGAAACCGGGGCUAAUACCGGAUAAUAUUUUGAACUGCAUGGUUCGAAAUUGAAAGGCGGCUUCGGCUGUCACUUAUGGAUGGACCCGCGUCGCAUUAGCUAGUUGGUGAGGUAACGGCUCACCAAGGCAACGAUGCGUAGCCGACCUGAGAGGGUGAUCGGCCACACUGGGACUGAGACACGGCCCAGACUCCUACGGGAGGCAGCAGUAGGGAAUCUUCCGCAAUGGACGAAAGUCUGACGGAGCAACGCCGCGUGAGUGAUGAAGGCUUUCGGGUCGUAAAACUCUGUUGUUAGGGAAGAACAAGUGCUAGUUGAAUAAGCUGGCACCUUGACGGUACCUAACCAGAAAGCCACGGCUAACUACGUGCCAGCAGCCGCGGUAAUACGUAGGUGGCAAGCGUUGUCCGGAAUUAUUGGGCGUAAAGCGCGCGCAGGUGGUUCCUUAAGUCUGAUGUGAAAGCCCCCGGCUCAACCGGGGAGGGUCAUUGGAAACUGGGGAACUUGAGUGCAGAAGAGGAAAGUGGAAUUCCACGUGUAGCGGUGAAAUGCGUAGAGAUGUGGAGGAACACCAGUGGCGAAGGCGACUUUCUGGUCUGUAACUGACACUGAGGCGCGAAAGCGUGGGGAGCGAACAGGAUUAGAUACCCUGGUAGU